rnacentral:rRNA from 1 species
AUUGAACGCUGGCGGCAGGCUUAACUCUUGCACGUCGAGCGAGCGGCGGACGGGUGAGUAAUGUCUGGUAAACUUCCUGAUGGAGGGGGAUAACUACUGGAAACGGUAGCUAAUACCGCAUACCAUCAGAUGUGCCCAGAUGGGUUUAGCUAGUAGGUGGGGUAUUGGCUCACCUAGGCGACGAUCCCUAGCUGGUCUGAGAGGAUGACCAGCCACACUGGAACUGAGACACGGUCCAGACUCAUACGGGAGGCAGCAGUGGGGAAUAUUGCACAAUGGGCGCAAGCCUGAUGCAGCCAUGCCGCGUGUGUGAAGAAGGCCUUCGGGUUUUAAAGCACUUUCAGCGAGGAGGCGUUACUCGCAGAAGAAGCACCGGCGAAAGAAGAGCCAGCAGCCGCGGUAAUUC